GUCCACGCCGUAAACGAUGAGUGCUAGGUGUUGGGGGUUACCACCCUCAGUGCCGAAGCUAACGCAUUAAGCACUCCGCCUGGGGAGUACGGUCGCAAGACUGAAACUCAAAGGAAUUGACGGGGGCCCCGCACAAGCAGUGGAGCAUGUGGUUUAAUUCGAAGCAACGCGAAGAACCUUACCAAGACUUGACAUCCCGCUGACCGCUCUAGAGAUAGAGUUUCCCUUCGGGGCAGCGGUGACAGGUGGUGCAUGGUUGUCGU
rnacentral:rRNA from 1 species